rnacentral:rRNA from 1 species
CCUACGGGUGGCAGCAGUGAGGAAUAUUGGUCAAUGGACGCAAGUCUGAACCAGCCAUGCCGCGUGCAGGAAGACGGCUCUAUGAGUUGUAAACUGCUUUUGUACGAGGGUAAACGCAGAUACGCGUAUCUGUCUGAAAGUAUCGUACGAAUAAGGAUCGGCUAACUCCGUGCCAGCAGCCGCGGUAAUACGGAGGAUUCAAGCGUUAUCCGGAUUUAUUGGGUUUAAAGGGUGCGUAGGCGGUCGGAUAAGUUAGAGGUGAAAUCCCGAGGCUCAACUUCGGAAUUGCCUCUGAUACUGUGCGGCUAGAGAGUAGUUGCGGUAGGCGGAAUGUAUGGUGUAGCGGUGAAAUGCUUAGAGAUCACACAGAACACCGAUUGCGAAGGCAGCAUACCAAGCUACAUCUGACGUUGAGGCACGAAAGCGUGGGGAGCAAACAGGAUUAGAUACCCCAGUAGUC